AAUAAGAUCGUUUUUCAGUUUUUUGAUACACUAUUUUGUCUCUUCGUCUUAUUUGAAUUAUUUUGUGAUUAAUAUUUUUAUUCUUACUAGAUGAUAAAACAUAAAUAGUAUUUUAUGUGUGACUAAUUUUUUUAAGUUUUUAUAUAAUUUUUCAAAUAAGACAAAUGGUCAAACUUUGGACAUAGAAAA
rnacentral:pre_miRNA from 1 species